GAGGUUCAAGGUUAACAGUUUGCCUGGAAAGAUUUGGGCUUGGACAAAAAUGCUGAAAAUGUUGAGACUUGGGAAAAGAGAGAAGUAAUUUCAAUCAUCAACUGAACAACUAUUUGUGUAUACCUGACUCCGUGGUAAGCACAAAAAUGAUCAAGCUAAGGCAGUGUCAUGUGGGUGAGCCCUAAUCCAGUAUGCCUGUUGUCCCUGGAAAUUUAGACACAGA